rnacentral:rRNA from 1 species
UACGUAGGUGGCAAGCGUUAUUCGGAAUUAUUGGGCGUAAAGGGCGCGUAGGCGGCAUGGCAAGUGGAAGGUGAAAUCCCUCGGCUUAACCGAGGAACUGCCCUCCAAACUGCUUUGCUUGAGGCCGGGAGAGGCGAGUGGAAUUCCCAGUGUAGCGGUGAAAUGCGUAGAUAUUGGGAGGAACACCAGUGGCGAAGGCGGCUCGCUGGACCGGUUCUGACGCUGAUGCGCGAAAGCGUGGGGAGCGAACAGG